AACGAACGCUGGCGGCAUGCCUAACACAUGCAAGUCGAACGAGACCUUCGGGUCUAGUGGCGCACGGGUGCGUAACGCGUGGGAACCUGCCCUUAGGUUCGGAAUAACUCCCCGAAAGGGGUGCUAAUACCGGAUAAUGUCUUCGGACCAAAGAUUUAUCGCCUUUGGAUGGGCCCGCGUUGGAUUAGCUAGUUGGUAGGGUAAAAGCCUACCAAGGCGACGAUCCAUAGCUGGUCUGAGAGGAUGAUCAGCCACACUGGGACUGAGACACGGCCCAGACUCGUACGGAAGGCGGAGGUGGGGAAAAUUGGACAGAGGCGGAAGGCUGGAUCCACCAGGGCGGGGUGAGUGAUGAAGGCUUGGGGUUGGUAAGGCUUUUUACCCGGGAUGAUAAUGACAGUACCGGGAGAAUAAGCUCCGGCUAACUCCGUG
rnacentral:rRNA from 1 species